rnacentral:rRNA from 1 species
GACGAACGCUGGCGGCGUGCUUAACACAUGCAAGUCGAACGGGAAUGAGUAGACAGAAGGCUGUGCUAGAGAUUCCUAAUGAGGGGUGCGAAGGGGGGAGUAAGGCCUGAGCAACGUGCCUAUGACAGUGGGAUAGCGCUGGGACACGGGGAGUAAUACCGCAUCAAAUCGUAGGAAGACAUGUUUCAACGGUUGAGGAUUUACGGGUCAUAGAUGGGCUCGCGUCUGGUUAGCUAGUUGGUGAGAUAACAGCCCACCAAGGGGACGAUCAGUAGCCGGGCUGAGAGGAUGAACCGCCACAUUGGAACUGAGACACGGUCCAAACUCCUACGGGAGGCAGCAGUGGGGAAUAUUGCACAAUGGGGGCAACCCUGAUGCAGCGACGCCGCGUGAACGAAGAAUGUAUUCGUAUCGUAAAGUUCUGUCCUAUGGGAAGAUAAUGACAGUACCAUAGAAGAAAGCUCCGGCUAAAUACGUG